rnacentral:misc_RNA from 1 species
GGUCUCGUAGGUGACCUGCGGAGGGAUCAUUACAAGAACGCCCGGGCUUCGGCCUGGUUAUUCAUAACCCUUUGUUGUCCGACUCUGUUGCCUCCGGGGCGACCCUGCCUUCGGGCGGGGGCUCCGGGUGGACACUUCAAACUCUUGCGUAACUUUGCAGUCUGAGUAAACUUAAUUAAUAAAUUAAAACUUUUAACAACGGAUCUCUUGGUUCUGGCAUCGAUGAAGAACGCAGCGAAAUGCGAUAAGUAAUGUGAAUUGCAGAAUUCAGUGAAUCAUCGAAUCUUUGAACGCACAUUGCGCCCCCUGGUAUUCCGGGGGGCAUGCCUGUUCGAGCGUCAUUUCACCACUCAAGCCUCGCUUGGUAUUGGGCAACGCGGUCCGCCGCGUGCCUCAAAUCGUCCGGCUGGGUCUUCUGUCCCCUAAGCGUUGUGGAAACUAUUCGCUAAAGGGUGUUCGGGAGGCUACGCCGUAAAACAACCCCAUUUCUAAGGUUGACCUCGGAUCAGGUAGGGAUACCCGCUGAACUUAAGCAUAUCAAUA